rnacentral:rRNA from 1 species
UACGUAGGGUGCAAGCGUUAAUCGGAAUUACUGGGCGUAAAGCGUGCGCAGGCGGUUUUGCAAGUCUGAUGUGAAAUCCCCGGGCUUAACCUGGGAACUGCAUUGGAGACUGCAAGGCUAGAGUGCGUCAGAGGGGGGUAGAAUUCCACGUGUAGCAGUGAAAUGCGUAGAGAUGUGGAGGAAUACCGAUGGCGAAGGCAGCCCCCUGGGAUGACACUGACGCUCAUGCACGAAAGCGUGGGGAGCAAACAGG